CAAAAUAUCUAUAAACAUCACCUCACUUCAGCAUAAACCAACUUUUUUCAAAUAUUCGACUCUACCUAUGAUGGAACAUUUUCCUCUUUGAACAGAAGAAUGUGCAUAUGGGAGACACCCAACCGAGUCAUUUGAGUGCUUAUCAGUCCCUCAUCAGCAUCAGCUCUCCUGGGAAGUUUCAGUCCGUUUCUGGAACUUACUCCUUUUUCAGCUUUCUGAAAAAGACAUU